ensembl:lncRNA novel transcript
AGAAGCACUCUAGCUACAGAUUAGAAUGAUGACAAGAGUAAUACCUUCCUAGUGAAGAUGACUUUUAUUUCAGGACUAUAUUAAGUUUCCCAACUUCUGUCAUGAUAUAGUCCAAAGAGAACCUGGACCACGCAGACAUCAAACAGAACAUGACACUGACCCAUUCUAUCAGUGACGUUGUGCUGAUUGCACAGGACAGAUGAGAGGCUCGUAUACUAGAAGUCUUGUUAUCCACAGAAGGAAUGAUCUGCAAUGUACACACGCCAGGACAGAAAUUCUACAGUUGCUGAUAAAAUGUAAACCUGAAUGCCAAGAACUACAGCAAAAUCUUGUCCAGAUGUGAUUCCACAGUACAGUCAGCCCUGAAGACACAAUUCCAGAAUUACAAAUUUUGUCUAUUUACCCAAAAUGUAAGGUGGAUAAUCUUUUCAGUUUAUUGGUUACAAAUGACCAGCUGACAAGUUACUCAGCUUCUGCAAUUGUGGUGAAAUUCUAGAGCUACCAAGAAAGGGUCACUUGUUCAAGAAGAACAAGCUAAGGAAUUGAUUGGCUCUUCAGAACUUGUGCCAACUUCCUUUCUGCAGGCGGGCUAAAUAUUGGAUACCUUUGAGAGAAGGGAAGCCAUCAUCUUAGGAAAAAAACCUCUCUCUGCUGUGAACAAGCUGAAUGCAAUCACAGAAACUGCAGACAAAAGAGCUUUUGAUGACAGAUAUUGCUGAUGCCUGGUGCCUUCAAAGGCAUUCCAGGAAAGGUGAAGGAAUAAUUAUGAUUAACAAUAACUCAUGUUUCUUCCAGGAUGUUACUCAUUGAACCAAUGGGUCACUUGAGAAAUAUGUCAGUGAGUCAGCUCACAUCCAAUUUGGCAAAAAGAUCCUGGGCUCCCAAACUCUUUGCAUUGAACUGAGUAAACCCAAAUGAAUACAUUCUGGGGGAGAAGUAAAGGAAGGAGAACUGUGGUGGUAAAAGACAGAGUUGGCUCCUUCAGUCUCCACCUCCACAGUCCCACCCCCAUAUUUAAGUGGAAUGAAAUUAUCAAGGCCAAUGAAGAAAGUCUUGAGCAUACCUUUAGAAAAGUUAAAGGACUCAGAUGAAGGAAAAAUACAGAAACACCACCAGGAAACAAGGAGAGUCUAAUAACUCACCACACAUCUAAAACAACAUGAACUUAUAAAUUUAUAUUGCAACUUAUACAGUAAGAGCAUAUACCAAAAGCCAGUUAAAAUAAUAAUGGUUACAAAUAAAAAGGAGUUUGGACUGGC